CCUUGUACACACCGCCCGUCAUACCAUGGGAGUCAGUUGCUCCAGAAGUGGCUUACCCAACCCGCAAGGGAGGGUGGUCCCCAAGGAGUGGCUGGUAACUGGGGUG
rnacentral:rRNA from 1 species